rnacentral:lncRNA from 1 species
GUGAAAACAGGAGGGCGUGGAGAGUAUGCAGACAAAUGGGAGACCUGAGGCCUGCAUAGCAGAGGUGCCAUUGCAGGGGUGAAUUUAUGGGACCAGAGAGGAGCUUAUGAAGUGGCCAGAGCCUCUCUUCUGAGCAAGGACCCUGGGAUCCUAGGACAGAACUUCCCAACAAAGGAUCAUCCAGAUGUGCUGACUGUGCAGCUGCAGCUGGAGAGCAGAGAACUGAUCCUGAGUCUGGAAAGGAAUGAGUAAGUCAAGUUGAUUCUUGUUCACAAAGUGACUGGAGAAAGUUAGGACACUGUUCUAUAAUCUACGUUGCCAUUAGAAUGUAUUUGAUCUCAUGAGCUUGCUCCAGUGCUACACACUUCAUCUUAUGCUUUUAUUUAAAAAUUUGGCCCCUUUAAGAGAGAAAUUAUACAUUUUCAGAAAAUAGUGC